GAUUUCAUGAAGAUAUUGAGAUUGAUGACUUUGAGGUCGGAGAGGGAAUAACUGAAUACCGGCCUAUGAUGCAACUGGGAAUUGUUGAUGAUCGUACUAUGGGGAAACUUAGUGCAUUUCAAGUGUGUUUGGAGUGCAAAUGCUGCAUGAAUGUCUCCGAUCCGACAACAUGCUCAAACAUGCCAUGUUGCUUUGGAAUUGACUGCCAACUUCCCAACAAGCCCUUUGGUGUUUGCGGUUUUGUUCCCAGGACCUGUAAUUGUACAUCGUGUGGUUCUUCAUAGUUAACGGAUUUCAUGAAGAUAUUGAGAUUGAUGACUUUGAGGUCGGAGAGGGAAUAACUGAAUACCGGCCUAUGAUGCAACUGGGAAUUGUUGAUGAUCGUACUAUGGGGAAACUUAGUGCAUUUCAAGUGUGUUUGGAGUGCAAAUGCUGCAUGAAUGUCUCCGAUCCGACAACAUGCUCAAACAUGCCAUGUUGCUUUGGAAUUGACUGCCAACUUCCCAACAAGCCCUUUGGUGUUUGCGGUUUUGUUCCCAGGACCUGUAAUUGUACAUCGUGUGGUUCUUCAUAGUUAACGGUUGGUUUCUAUGUGUUCUUGAUAAGUUUGUUCAAUUAUUGGAGUGCUCCAUACGUCAUAGGUUUUGUCAAGACAUUAGCUUUCUGUAAUAGAUUCGUCAAUCCAUAUAGAUACCAGUUAUAUA